rnacentral:ncRNA from 1 species
UGAAAGGAGAGAGGGUUAGCACUCCCCUUGACCAAGAUGGAAGAAGCGCUCGGGCCUGGCAACACACAUGGUUGACGUAUAGCCAGCCACCUCCUUCA